UGGUGGGUAGUUUGACUGGGGCGGUCUCCUCCCAAAGAGUAACGGAGGAGCACGAAGGUUAGCUAAUCCUGGUCGGACAUCAGGAGGUUAGUGCAAUGGCAUAAGCUAGCUUGACUGCGAGCGUGACGGCGCGAGCAGGUGCGAAAGCAGGUCAUAGUGAUCCGGUGGUUCUGAAUGGAAGGGCCAUCGCUCAACGGAUAAAAGGUACUCCGGGGAUAACAGGCUGAUACCGCCCAAGAGUUCAUAUCGACGGCGGUGUUUGGCACCUCGAUGUCGGCUCAUCACAUCCUGGGGCUGAAGUAGGUCCCAAGGGUAUGGCUGUUCGCCAUUUAAAGUGGUACGCGAGCUGGGUUUAGAACGUCGUGAGACAGUUCGGUCCCUAUCUGCCGUGGGCGCUGGAGAAUUGAGGGGGGCUGCUCCUAGUACGAGAGGACCGGAGUGGACGCAUCACUGGUGUUCGGGUUGUCAUGCCAAUGGCACUGCCCGGUAGCUAAAUGCGGAAGAGAUAAGUGCUGAAAGCAUCUAAGCACGAAACUUGC
rnacentral:rRNA from 1 species